CCUACGGGUGGCAGCAGUAGGGAAUUUUCGGCAAUGGGGGGAACCCUGACCGAGCAACGCCGCGUGAAGGAAGAAGGCCUUCGUUCUGUAAACUUCUGUUAUAAAGGAAGAAAGACGGAUGGAGGAAAUGACAUCCGAGUGAUGGUACUUUAUGAGAAAGCCACGGCUAACUACGUGCCAGCAGCCGCGGUAAUACGUAGGUGGCAAGCGUUAUCCGGAAUGAUUGGGCGUAAAGAGGGAGCAGGCGGCAGUAAAGGUCUGUGGUGAAAGACUGGAGCUAAACUUCAGUAAGCCAUAGAAACCGGGCAGCUGGAGUGCAGGAGAGGAACGUGGAAUUCCAGGUGUAGCGGUGAAAUGCGUAGAUAUAUGGAGGAACACCAGUGGCGAAGGCGACGAUCUGGCCUGCGACUGACGCUCAGGCCCGAAAGCGUGGGGAGCAAAUAGGAUUAGAUACCCCUGUAGUC
rnacentral:rRNA from 1 species